rnacentral:rRNA from 1 species
UGGGGAAUUUUGGACAAUGGGCGAAAGCCUGAUCCAGCAAUGCCGCGUGUGUGAAGAAGGCCUUCGGGUUGUAAAGCACUUUUGUCCGGAAAGAAAUCCUUGGCUCUAAUACAGUCGGGGGAUGACGGUACCGGAAGAAUAAGCACCGGCUAACUACGUGCCAGCAGCCGCGGUAAUACGUAGGGUGCAAGCGUUAAUCGGAAUUACUGGGCGUAAAGCGUGCGCAGGCGGUUUGCUAAGACCGAUGUGAAAUCCCCGGGCUCAACCUGGGAACUGCAUUGGUGACUGGCAGGCUAGAGUAUGGCAGAGGGGGGUAGAAUUCCACGUGUAGCAGUGAAAUGCGUAGAGAUGUGGAGGAAUACCGAUGGCGAAGGCAGCCCCCUGGGCCGAUACUGACGCUCAUGCACGAAAGCGUGGGGAGCAAACAGGAUUAGAUACCCUGGUAGUCCACGCCCUAAACGAUGUCAACUAGUUGUUGGGGAUUCAUUUCCUUAGUAACGUAGCUAACGCGUGAAGUUGACCGCCUGGGGAGUACGGUCGCAAGAUUAAAACUCAAAGGAAUUGACGGGGUCAUAGCUGUUUCCU